GACGUAGGGUCCGAGCGUUGUCCGGAGUUACUGGGCGUAAAGGGCGCGUAGGCGGCUUUGUGCGUCACACGUGAAAGCCCCUGGCUUAACCAGGGAGGGUCGUGUGAAACGGCGAAGCUGGAGGCAGAGAGAGGCUGGUGGAAUUCCCGGAGUAGUGGUGAAAUGCGUAGAUAUCAGGAGGAACACCGGUGGCGAAGGCGGGUCUCUGGGCCGAUACUGACGCUGAGGAGCGAAAGCGUGGGGAGCGAACAGG
rnacentral:rRNA from 1 species